rnacentral:rRNA from 1 species
AGAUGGCGACCGGCGCGCGGGUGAGUAACACGUAUCCAACCUGCCGAUAACUCGGGGAUAGCCUUUCGAAAGAAAGAUUAAUACCCGAUGGCAUAGUUCUUCCGCAUGGUGGAACUAUUAAAGAAUUUCGGUCAUCGAUGGGGAUGCGUUCCAUUAGGUUGUUGGCGGGGUAACGGCCCACCAAGCCUUCGAUGGAUAGGGGUUCUGAGAGGAAGGUCCCCCACAUUGGAACUGAGACACGGUCCAAACUCCUACGGGAGGCAGCAUG